rnacentral:rRNA from 1 species
UACGAAGGGGGCUAGCGUUGUUCGGAAUUACUGGGCGUAAAGCGCGCGCAGGCGGUCUUCCAAGUCAGUGGUGAAAGCCCGGAGCUCAACUCCGGAACUGCCAUUGAAACUGUUAGACUUGAGGACGAGAGAGGUGAGUGGAAUUCCCAGUGUAGAGGUGAAAUUCGUAGAUAUUGGGAAGAACACCGGUGGCGAAGGCGGCUCACUGGACCGGUACUGACGCUGAGGCGCGAAAGCGUGGGGAGCAAACGGG